AAAGAAUUGUACCAACAGCAUCAAUUGUCGCAACUCCUCCAUAGUGGUGGCUUGGCUUGCUUGUGUGCCCACUCGGCAUGCAAAUCCUUCUCUGGUUUGCGCAAGCUUCUAAACUUGCUCCGAUAUGCCUCCGGGGUAAUGGCAUAUCUUUCCAGUAUCACCCGUUUUACUUUGUUAUAAUCCUUGCUGUCCUCUCUGAGUACAGCGCGAUAGGCUUCUGCUGCCCGCCCUGACAAUUUGCCUGCCAGUUAUCACACAGCCUCUCGAAAUCCUGUAAAUACCCAUCAAUCUCAUCCUUCUCCUCACAAAACAUUUUAAAGGCGUGGUAUGGGAUUUUGGGUUUUACCUGGCUGUAUACGGUGGCAGUAAUGGAUUCUUCCCUGGACAGUGUCUCCUGCGGACUGUGUGCCAUCACAUACUGCUGCACAUCCGCC